UAAGGCUGAGUCGCUGAUCAGGAGGAAGAUCAAUUUCUACGCCUUCUUGCAUGUGCCACACUGAUCGUUUCUCACGUUUGGAAUUUCUAUGCCCAAUCCUCUAUCUUCUUCCCCUUUCCCUUUUGUUGUCUUCGCCUGAUUGACGUUGUAUUAUUCAUGUCCUGCCCAAUCGGUUUUACAGGGACUCAAUCUUGGUGUGGAUUGGGCAUCACAUUGUCGUCAGCCUUGGGUGUUCAGGUGCUGAUCUUGGUGUCAAUUGCUGCCUCGCGUUUCCAUCAACUUCAGCUGGUUACAUGUUUCUUGGGACUUCAGCUGGUUACAUGUUUCUUGGGAAUAAACGAAUGAUAUAAUUAUGAUGUCAAUUUGGUCGGCAAAUACUGCUACUUCUGGAAUCUGAAGUGUACACCCUAUGCAUUUCAGUCUAUUUUACUGCUGGUCUAUCUUGAUCUUCAUAGAAUCGUUGAUGUUGCUUUGGAUAAGUCUAUUAAAGAAAUUAUAGGCCCUGUUAUUUAAAGAAGGGUUACAAUAGCUGCCCGAACUACUAAGGUGCUUAUUCUUAAGGUGAACGUCAUGGACUAUUUCCCUAGCUGUACAUGUCCAUUAGCCAUUUGUCUUCCUGUAGUUGAAAAGUUUCUAACAGGCUUGCAUAUUUGCCCUGCGGGAUUGGGCAAUGGAAUCUGAUGAUAGUGUAGUAUCUCGCGCUGCACAUUUCAUGGUUGGCGUGCUAGCUGGAAGUCUAGCUCAUGUAACUUCCUGUAUAUUUUUGCAUAAGGCUCUUAGUGUAGUUUUUCAGUUGUAGUUACAGCCCCAGCACGUUGAUUAUUAAAUUCAUUUAGGUUUAGAUUUAAUGUGUAAUGCUAUAUUCAGUUGUCUUGUCUUCUACUGCAUGAGCGUUUUUGUGUUGUUUUAUCAUCUCAUCUUCAAAGUCUCAUUCAGAACCUGAGCAAUAACAGUGAAACCACUGAACAGAUUGUUCAUAUUCUGAUUAAUGAUACUCUAUAUCUUGAUGUGCGUUAAUAGAGACUAUUGCAGCACACACGGUACCUCUUCACUUUUUAUUUGUUUUGGUUUAUAUAUCUGGUCGUUACGAUGGGAAGUAGCCAAUGGUAUGGUGUUGCUUCACUUACUAUGCUAUCAGCCAUUUUUGGACUUUUUAACUUCGCUACCAAAGGCAUACGUAGGCCUUAGAUAUAUGCAUUAUAGCAGAAAUAUGGAAUGUUCUGUUAAUGCGUCACAACAUCAAUGAGGAUCUUGCAGGCUAUUGAGAUGAUUGAUGGAGAACUCAAGCAGCCUUUUGCCAAUAACUUGUUGCCGUUCAUGUCCAUUUUGACGUCGGCUGCCUCUGAACAGCAUGUUGCUUAGAGUAGCAUUUAGAGUGGUCAAAGAGACUGAAUUUAUCCUUCACUAUUAUUUGGCGCUUCUCCAAUUCAAGGCGAGUGAUACAACCUGAAUCUUUCAUUUUAUUCCCCUAGAUUUUACUAGAUGCUACUGCUAAUGGUUCUUGUGAAGACGAGCUACAUUUAUUAUCUGUGGGCUAAUUCAGUUUUUCGAAGUGAAUUGGGUCACACAGAGAAUCAACGCACACUAAAUCAGUUUGAUUGGCAAUUAUUGGGCUACAGAUUGAAACAUGCUUUUCCAGAUGGAACCAUCAGCAAAAAAUUCAAAGCAGACAUAUGACUUUUCUUUGCCCAAGCAACAAGACAAGCUGGUGGCACUGGUUUGCAGGACAUUGUCGGUUCAUGAAUUUUAUCGUUUGCGCUUUGAUGUGCUAGCACGAGUGGCUCCUCGCCGACACGCGAAACAGUGGCUUCUUCCAGCGGCCGAAGCAGCCGCGUAGCCAAUAUGCCUCGUGUGGAUUCUCUUGGUCGUCAGCCUGCGAGAAGCCUCCGCUAUCGGUCCAGCCGACCAUUGAUGUGAAGGGCCAGACAAUUGUUGAUAAGUACACGUUGCUUGUGCUCACCAUGCCGCCGAGGGGCACGAUGACGCCGUACGGCUUGAGGGGAGGCGGAGAAGUGAUUAAGCAACCACAGUGUAUUCCCGUGACAUUGUUGAAAUACAUAUGUUUGAUGGUCUGUUUUGUAGGACGUACUCCCUCUGUAAACUAAUAUAAGAGCGUUUAGAUCACUACUUUAGUAUUCUAAAAGCUCUUAUAUUAGUUUACGGAGGGAGUACAAAAUAAUUGUACGUUCAUGAUUGUUCGUUCAGCAAGAUUUCAUGUACAUGUGCUACUCUAAUCGUAACAAACUGAAAAGUUUAACUGACAAUUCAUAUUUC